UACGUAGGGGGCAAGCGUUGUCCGGAAUCAUUGGGCGUAAAGCGCGUGUAGGCGGUUCGAUAAGUCUGCUGUGAAAGUCCAGGGCUCAACCCUGGGAUGCCGGUGGAUACUGUCGGACUAGAGUACGGAAGAGGCGAGUGGAAUUCCCGGUGUAGCGGCGAAAUGCGCAGAUAUCGGGAGGAACACCAAUUGCGAAGGCAGCUCGCUGGGACGUCACUGACGCUGAGACGCGAAAGCGUGGGGAGCAAACAGG
rnacentral:rRNA from 1 species